GAUGAACGCUGGCGGCGUGCCUAACACAUGCAAGUCGAACGAAGCGCUUUGAAGUUUUCGGACAGAUGAGUGACUGAGUGGCGGACGGGUGAGUAACGCGUGGGUAACCUGCCUCAUACAGGGGGAUAACAGUUAGAAAUGACUGCUAAUACCGCAUAAGUGCACAGCUUCGCAUGAAGCAGUGUAAAAAACUCCGGUGGUAUGAGAUGGACCCGCGUCUGAUUAGCUAGUUGUGGGGUAACGGCCUACCAAGGCGACGAUCAGUAGCCGGCCUGAGAGGGUGAACGGCCACAUUGGGACUGAGACACGGGCCCAAACUCCUACGGGAGCAGCAGUGGGGAAUAUUGCACAAUGGGGGAAACCCUGAUGCAGCGACGCCGCGUGAGUGAAGAGUAUUUCGGUAUGUAAAGCUCUAUCAGCAGGG
rnacentral:rRNA from 1 species